rnacentral:rRNA from 1 species
GACAGAGGUCCCGAGCGUUAGGCGGAAUCACUGGGCUUAAAGCGUGUGUAGGCGGAUGCCUAAGUACCUUGUGAAAUCCCACGGCUCACCCGUGGAACUGCUUGGUAUACUGGGUGUCUUGAGCCACUUAGGGGCUACCGGAACAAAUGGUGGAGCGGUGAAAUGCGUAGAUAUCAUUUGGAACGCCAAUGGUGAAAACAGGUAGCUGGGAGUGUGCUGACGCUGAGACGCGAAAGCGUGGGGAGCAAACAGG